rnacentral:rRNA from 1 species
AAUCAACGCUGGCGGCGCGCUUAACACAUGCAAGUCGAGCGAGAAAGGGGAGCAAUCCCUGAGUACAGCGGCGUACGGGUGAGUAACACGUGGAUAAUCUACCUUCUAGUGGGGAAUAACCCUGGGAAACCGGGGCUAAUACCGCAUAAGCCUGUAAAGGGAAAGCAGCAAUGCGCUGGAAGAGGAGUCCGCGGCCGACUAGCUAGUUGGUGAGGUAACGGCCCACCAAGGCGACGAUCGGUAGCCGGCCUGAGAGGGCACACGGCCACACUGGCACUGAAACACGGGCCAGACUCCUACGGGAGGCAGCAGUGGGGAAUCUUGCACAAUGGAGGCAACUCUGAUGCAGCGACGCCGCGUGAGCGAUGAAGCCCUUCGGGGUGUAAAGCUC